AGUAGCUUGUUGUUGUUCCCGCAUUGGCUGUUGCAGACGUUCGCUGUAAGUUUACAAGCAAGCUUGGAUGCGAAAAGUUUGUCCAUUUUUUUUUCUUUUCAACGAUGCCGGGAAGAACAUGUUGGGUUUUCGGCUGCUUUAACAGCAGUGCAAAAAUACAGGCCUGGAAUAAGACGGUUUGUGAAAUUCACAAACCUUUGCUGCACCUAGCCUAGACUGCCCGUGUUUACGGCCUUAUGGAUUACACAGAUUUCCUGGUCGAGCGGAGGACCAAGAUGUGCGUCAAAAGUGGAUGAAAUACAUAAACCGAGAUGGCUUCACAGCAAACAAGAAUACUGUGGUGUGUGGGAUACAUUUUCCUGACGGACAACCCACAAGAGAAAAUCCAUAUCCUGUGUUGUUCAUGGGCUAUGAUUGUCGUGUAACUCCAGCUAGACCUCCACCCAAAAAAAGAUGUCUUCAGCCACUACACCUGAACUCACAUUUUACAUAAUUGUGAAAUGUUGUGUUGCAAAGUGUACAUUUCUGUUCUGCACACAAUGUGUGCUCUUUUGGUGGACCUAUUUCUGAGUGUACAGUAUGUGCUUGAGCAGUCAAAACAUGAUGCAAAAUGGUUCCAGGAACCAUAGAUAAUCCAAUCAUAUCGGGUGCAGAAAAAUGUCCAAUAACAUUGUCAUCUGUAUCAAAUGCAGUAGAAAUGACACUCAUACACUUUCUAGGACAACUGUGUUGGGUUUGCAUAUUUUCCACUGUCUCUGGCACUACAUUGUCACAAGUAGACCGGUUCCAGGCACAUGCUGUGUCUGUGCAGGCCAAGCCUAUGAACCCUCUUGCUGAAGCAUCUUUAAUUUUGUACAGCAGCCCUGCUGUAUGACUACAACACUUUCCUCGGCUGGCCAUGCAGUCACACGCUACUUCCAGAACUUUGCCAUCUUCUCUCUGUAUGGUUACUGACACAUUAUGGUACGAGUUCACUGCCUGUGAAAACCUCACAACACCUUUUAAUGUGAUGGUGUCAUCUGCAAUGGAGUGUAGUAUUUGGCCAAUCCACCCGGAGCUCAUGUAAUUCUGCCCUUCAAUCAGUGCCCUGUAGUUUGCGUUCUGAAGCUCAUCACAUGCCAGGCGAUUAAUAAAAUAAUCCUGGAUACCUGUAAAAACAUUUAUUUUACUACAACUCUAUAACUGGAUGUCAUCAAUUAAUACACGCCUUAAAACAUUAUCUUGUCAUUAAAUUACCUGCAUCAGUCAAUUCUGGCC